UUCUUUUUCAUCAUUCUCUUCUUCGCCUGCGUGUACAUAUAUCAGGUCUCUUCUUCGCCUCGUAACCAUGACCUAACCUGAACAUUCCCAACCAGCAAAAUCGGCAACGACGAGGCAAUUCCCACGACGCGCAAGACGAACCAAUAACCACCUGUCGGCGACCAAAUAUCCGACACAAUCGAUUUCCAUGUGUACUUGUUGGGAUGAAAGUUUACUGAAAUGAGUGGAAUCGGAAAAGAGGUUUGGUUGAUUCAAAUUUUAGUUGGAUUUGGGAUCAACCUAAAUGCGAACUACGAGAGGAGUAGAGGACAGUGGCAAAGAAAACAGAAAGAAGGUGCGGGGCAGAAUCAAGGAGCUAAGAAAGAAUGUCGCAACAGCUGAAAGAUUGGCCGCCCAAUAUGGCCAGAAAAGGGAUAGACACUGAGCCCCGCAGGAAUAGAAAGAAAGAUAAUAUUUGUUCGGAAAUCCUAAGUUAUUUAGGGAGAAAAAAGACCUGAACAUGGGUAGUGGAUGUGAGCUUAGUAUCAAAAUCCAAAGCGUGGAUGCCCUCGUAUGGAAGACUUUAGUUACUAGACUAUACAAUGCGAAAGUUAAUGAAGACAUGCUCGGUAGAUUGAGGCGAUUCGGGGAAAGAUUCGGAGUGCAUGUCCCAGAUCCCGGAAGGAAGUGACGUAUCUCCAUCAACGCUGAUGAUGCUGUAGAAGAGUUUGAACAAUGACUGCGCUGGGUUUGGUCGAGUGACUGGGAUUAUUAGGGACCUAAAUAAAGGAUCAUUAGGGACCCAAUUGAUAUGGCUAUGAUGGAAUGUUGUUUAUGAUUAUUCUCUCCACAAUGCUUUGUGGUGGAAUUCGUAUGCAUUGGGCAUUGAGGUUGUGUCAUCUUCAAGUUUCCGAAUGAUGGAAGCUUAUAAAGCACUAUGCUUGAAAAUGAAGUGAUUCGAAAAAGGAGCUUAUGCUCGUAGUUGGCCAACAUGUUUAACCUUGGUGAAGCUUCACUCCCCAUCAUAUCAUAGCUUGUACCUGUGGUACUGCGACUGCAUCGAUGUCAUCUCUUACAAGUAAUUUGGGUAUCUGUCCUUUAAAUGUUAGCCUUUUUUUAUUGUUGUUGCCAUUCUUUUUCUACUCAAAUGAAUAUUUAAGACGAGUGUGCUGGAGGCGCUGUCCUUUAAAUCUAUUAUAUGGAGCAAACUACACAAUCCACUCUGA